UACAGAGGUCUCAAGCGCUGUUCGGAUUCAUUGGGCGUAAAGGGUGCGUAGGCGGCGCGGUAAGUCGGGUGUGAAAUCUUGGAGCUUAACUCCGAAACUGCAUUCGAUACUGCCGUGCUUGAGGACUGGAGAGGAGACUGGAAUUUACGGUGUAGCGGUGAAAUUCGUAGAUAUCGAGAGGAACACCGGUGGCGAAGGCGGCCUUCUGGACAGUGACUGACGCUGAGACGCGAAAGCGUGGGGAGCAAACAGG
rnacentral:rRNA from 1 species